GACGAACGCUGGCGGCGUGCUUAACACAUGCAAGUCGAACGGAAAGGCCCUGCUUUUGUGGGGUGCUCGAGUGGCGAACGGGUGAGUAACACGUGAGUAACCUGCCCUUGACUUUGGGAUAACUUCAGGAAACUGGGGCUAAUACCGGAUAGGAGCUCCUGCUGCAUGGUGGGGGUUGGAAAGUUUCGGCGGUUGGGGAUGGACUCGCGUCUUAUCAGCUUGUUGGUGGGGUAGUGGCUUACCAAGGCUUUGACGGGUAGCCGGCCUGGGAGGGGGACCGGCCACAUUGGGACUGAGAUGCGACCCAGCCUCCUCCGGGAGGCAGCAGUGGGGAAUGGUGCACAAUGGGCGGAAGCCUGAUGCAACAACGCCGCGUGGGGGAUGACGGGCUUCGGGUUGUAAACCGCUUUCGCCUGUGACGAAGCGUGAGUGACGGUAAUGGGUAAAGAAGCACCGGCUAACUACGUG
rnacentral:rRNA from 1 species